UACGUAGGGAGCAAGCGUUGUCCGGAAUCAUUGGGCGUAAAGCGCGCGUAGGCGGCCUCAUAAGUCCGUUGUGAAAGUCAAAGGCUCAACCUUUGAAAGCCGAUGGAUACUGUGAGGCUAGAGUCCGGAAGAGGCGAGUGGAAUUCCUGGUGUAGCGGUGGAAUGCGCAGAUAUCAGGAGGAACACCGAUGGCGAAGGCAGGUCUCUGGGCAUUAACUGACGCUGAGGAGCGAAAGCAUGGGGAGCGAACAGG
rnacentral:rRNA from 1 species